AAAUAUACUGCUUUUCUCCUUGUAGAAACAGAUGGAAACAGGUGAAAUGAAACAGGGUGUGCCUUCAUUUCGCAUGUAUCUGAGGGCCUCCAGCAUGCUGUUUGCUGCUGGGAAGACAACAGUGAAUGCAACAGCCUUUGCCCUCAUGUGGAAAGUACAGUCUAGCAGGGGAAUUGGGCAAUCUAAGACAAACACAUGAGCAAGCCAGAUAGUUUCUGAAAGUGGGUAAGUACUUUGAAGAAAAUAAAAGAGGGAAAUAGGAUAGAGGGUGGCUGGGGUGGUCCAAGAAGUUCUCUUCAAGGGGAUGACAUUUUAGUUGAGACCCAUAGUAUGAGAGCCAGCCCUAUACAUGGGAUAUGCUACAGUGAAUGAUUAGCCAGUACAAAGCUCCUGAACCAGAGAGACCUGGGAUAUUCAAAGCAUGAGAAGAAAAACAGAUUGAGCUGGAGCACAAAAGGUAAAGAGUGGCAGAGAUGAGGCUGCAGAAGAGCAGAGACCUGAUCACGGAGGACCUGAAGGCCUGGAUUUGUCUUUGGAGAAUGGAGCAAUAAGGUGGAUCCAAAGAUAAGGAAACCGAAGGUGUAGAGUGGGAAGAGGCAGCAGGUCCAGGAGCCAAGGCCCCCCGGAUGCAGCCCAAAAAUUGGAAGAAAACCCCAAAGCCAGCAGGUCUGGACUUGAGAAGCAGAAAGGCCUGUGAAGCAGAGAGAGAGAAAGGGAGUGUUAUGUGUCAUUACGCCCAUUUACUUCCAUAGGCAGCCCCUUUAUCACAAUGCAUUUUAUAGCGCAGCUCUUUCAACAGCAUCUAAUUACUACCUCUACAACACCUACCAACAUUUAACUCACUCUUUCCUGAUUUCGGCAGCAGGACCCUACACGGACAGUGGAAUUUAUUGGCAAUAAGGAGCCAACUUGAGGUAUUUAAGAUGUGAUGAUGAAAAGCGGGGUUGAGAAAGAUUUUAUCCCAAUGAAUUGUAGAAAUUUCUGGAUGCAGAGAGACCAGCUGGAGAGCAAUCCGGCUUUGAACCCAUGACUCGGGCAGUUGUAAAAAGGAAACCAAUCUGAAUGCAAGGGGAAGGCAGGUCUGAGAGUCUGUUCUUAAUUUUCCUGUCGGUCUUUCUACCUGGAUCUCAGAUACUGCUCUCUGAAUUUGAAGACGCUUUGUGUGUGUGUGUGUGUCCAAGUUUAUGAAUGCUGUGCUCAGCAUGUGCUAUUACUCUGUGACGGUUAUAAAAUAAUUCUUCAGGAAAGAAAUAGGCCAUACACUAACUGGGUGAGCAAAAAUAGGUCAUGGCAUGAAGAUAGAAGGGCUGCUGGCCAAGACUGUGGAGCCAGAAGGCAGCCAUCUGCUAGGACACAGGGCAGCGCCCAUCCACACUGCUCACGAUCCCUGCCAGGAACCUGUGAUAGGGCAAUUGCGCUGAACGUGGCCACGGCUUCUGACCUCCUUGGGAAAGGAACAUCUUUCUGUUACUUAGCCACCUUUAAAGGUAGAAUUCCAUCUCAGUGUCAAGUCUUGGCUUACUAGCUCUGGAAUGUUUGGAGUACACGAGCCAUCACACAGAAAAUUCAUCUCUCAGUCAGCUGGUGGACACCCACAAUGCACCAGGCACCCUGUGAAGCACCAGAAGAGAACAAAGCUGAACUAAACAUGGACCCUGCUCUCAAUGAGUUCUUCCU